UUAGGUUAAGUUAGUAAGGGCGCACGGUGAAUGCCUUGGCACUAGGAGCCGAUGAAGGACGGGACUAACACCGAUAUGCUUCGGGGAGCUGUAAGCAAGCUUUGAUCCGGAGAUUUCCGAAUGGGGGAACCCACUGCCCGUAAUGGGGCAGUAUCCUUACUUGAAUACAUAGAGUAUGGAAGGCAGACCCGGGGAACUGAAACAUCUAAGUACCCGGAGGAAGAGAAAGCAAACGCGAUUUCCUGAGUAGCGGCGAG
rnacentral:rRNA from 1 species